UGACCCUUAUUAAGCCGAGGGUCACCUAGCCAACUGACGUUGUUAGUGAACCUACUAAUUUGUUCACAUUCAUAUAUAGCCAAUCAUAUUGUUGUGAUUGGCUUUUUUUCU
rfam:Vibrio panuliri strain CAIM 703 CAIM703_12, whole genome shotgun sequence.